AUCUUGCCGCCGGCGCUCCUCGAGCCGGUCAAGCAUCAAAAAGGAAACAUCGAUUUCGGGUCCCCCAACUUCAGCCAGCAGUUGAUGUCCACCGUGCUGGAGCUGGGACUGUUCGACCCGCACCUGGAGUCCCUGAAGGAGAACUAUCGCCGCAAGCUGACCGCCAUGCUCGAAGCGGCUGACGAACACCUCGGGCCAAUCGAAGGUGUGCACUGG
rnacentral:misc_RNA from 1 species